AUCGUGAAAAUUUGUACGCAUUUCCCAGAUAUUUAACUACAGUUGUAAACAAAGUCUACUCGAGCCAUGCAGACAACUGUGGCGGUGUUGCAGCACAAUAAAAGUACCAAGAACCUCGAAGCACCAAAAUUCUUUUCCAUUACGAGCAUACAGCUUGAUUUGAAUCAAAUGCUAUUUGGUCGUCUUUGAACCAAUAAAACUAAAAACCGCAACCGCAAACAUUUCCAGCACAAAAACCAACCUACAUAUGCAGGCACAAGGUUUCUAAACCAUCCUAGAACAGCAGCUGAAAAUCAUCUGCCACAUUGUAGGAAAAGGGCAAGUUGCACUGUCAUUCACACCAUUGAAAAAAGGAACUAGCGCUUGGAACCCAAACCCAUUCACGCACUCAGACCGUGUGCCACAACAAAGGGUCUAAUUACUUGUAGCCAACAUGCUGCAUUCAUUCUGACAUCUUAAGCUAUGAUUUGACAACAAGAAAUGUGCUUGUAAAUUAAAAGGCCUGGGACAUCGAGAUCCAUUGGCAAACAAAGGAAUUUGAAAUUACCUAAAUCAUUCAACAUCUUAAUGAGUAGAAACUAAAUAACCACUCGAGUUUAAA